AUCUGUCACUUACAUUUGGAAACAAAUGUAAAUAAACAAUGGAUUUCCGAUUGGAUUCAUCAUGUUUUGACGGAGGACGUUACAGUGCGCUUCGUCUUUUAUAGACACUAGUAUAGUGAACGACACGGUGUCGUGAACUUCAACAAACGCAGAUGCCGAAGUAUACAGACGGGGAUAAUGUGAUCUUGGCGUGGAAAGUGUCCAAUACAGUGUUGUGUGUAUCACAUAAUUUAUCUAAUCUUUGUGAACAUUCUACGUAAUGAGUUUCACAUGGUUUGAUGAAUUUGCUCUGUUCAUUAGCUAGCUUAUUUCCGAGGACAAGAACCACAAUUUUUAGCUAGCAAUCGAAAGACAAAUUGCUUCAUGACACAAUGGAACUUUCAUAUAAAUUCAUUAAAACCUCAAAUCAAGCAAGAGAGGCGGAUGAAAUGAGAACGGAGUCCAGAAGACGAAAUCUGCUCAUUUUAAUCUUUCAUCAUUUAAUGGAGGAGGGGUAUAUGGAUGCAGCUUGUGCUCUGGAACAAGAGACCAGCGUUGCCCUGCGGCAGUUUGAAGUGUGUGAUAAUAUAGACUUGGACACAGUGUUGAUGGAGUAUGAAAGUUACUAUUUCAUCAAGUUUCAGAGAUAUCCCAAACUCACCAAGAAAGUGCCUGAACCAGUUGAAAGCAGACUUGCAAGAAGUUGUGGUAAAAAGAGGAACCCAUGUACUGGAGCCCAGCACCUGCCCAGAAUAAACUCCUUCCACAGACCUCCAUCACAAGGUGGUGUCAAGAAGACAGAAUCCAAGUUGAAUGCCAUCAAGGAAAAUAGCAGCAGAGCUGCUAGUGAAAACGAGGUCCAAUCCUCUACUCCAGAGUCAACAGAAUUUGGCCUAAAUGUUUCCCCAAUCAUCAGGAAUGGAGGAGAGGGAGGAGGACCAAUGAAGAAGCUGAUCAACUACAGAGGCCUCAUCCAGGACGCCAUUAAAGGGACAGCAAGCGAAGCGGCGUCCCACAGUCUGUCAGACCCUGUGGAACGUCUUCUGAAACCCCUCAGCGCCUUCAGUGGGAUGAACAGUGAGAUGAGAGAGCUGGCUGCUGUUAUUAGCAGGGACAUCUAUUUACACAACCCUGCGGUGCGCUGGGACAACAUUAUAGGCCUGCAGGCUGCCAAGCGAUUAGUCAAAGAAGCUGUCGUCUACCCCAUUAAGUAUCCUCAGCUGUUUACUGGCAUCCUGUCUCCAUGGAAAGGUCUGCUUUUAUAUGGACCUCCAGGUACAGGAAAGACCCUCCUGGCCAAGGCUGUUGCUACUGAGUGUAACACCACCUUCUUCAACAUCUCGGCCUCCAGCAUCGUCAGCAAGUGGAGAGGAGACUCUGAAAAGCUGGUCAGGGUGCUGUUUGAGCUGGCUCGCUACCACGCCCCUUCCACCAUCUUCCUAGAUGAACUGGAGUCAGUGAUGAGCCAGAGAGGGACUGGAGGGGGUGGAGAACAUGAGGGAAGCAGAAGGAUGAAGACUGAACUAUUGGUUCAGAUGGAUGGACUGGCCCGCUCAGAUGACCUGGUGUUUGUUCUGGCUGCCUCCAACUUGCCCUGGGAACUGGACCACGCCAUGUUGAGACGCCUGGAGAAAAGAAUUCUGGUUGGCUUACCAUCUGGCCCGGCCCGAGAAGCCAUGAUUUCACAUUGGCUGCCUCCAUUCAGCUGUACUGGAGGGGUGGAGCUACGUACUGAACUGGCCUAUGACACUUUAGCACAAAAGACAGAGGGCUACUCUGGGUCCGAUAUAAGGCUGGUGUGUAAGGAGGCAGCCAUGAGACCAGUAAGAAAGAUAUUUGAUGCUCUGGAGAAUCACAAAGAUGGUCUUUGAAAGCCAAGGAGGGCUGGAGUCAACCUGAAACCCCAUGGCUCAACCCUAAGCACACUGAUCCUGCUCUCUUCAUGUAAUGGAUCAUGCUUUUCUACAAAUAAAAUUAGCUCAUAGCUUGAAACAAUAUUUUCUUACGUCUUGGUGGAUGUGCACUCCUCAGUAAGGUACUGUCAUCCCCAGUCCACUUUCUUCCUCUUUAAGGAUGGCGACAACCCUUGAAAAAUGUGCUGGUGCUGCCUUGCGGUUCAGGAAAAGUGUAGAAGCAUGAUGGACGCUGUUUAAAGGACUGACUAAGGCUGAAUGGCGGGACCCUCUGGUCUACUCCAGCCCAUAUUGGUCUUGAAAAGAUAGCUUCAACAUGCCUGCUAUUCAUCUGGAAACUGUGACAACAGAUGACUUCUUGGAGGUGAUAGCUCACACCAAACCCUCAGCCC